rnacentral:rRNA from 1 species
UGGGGAAUUUUGGACAAUGGGCGCAAGCCUGAUCCAGCAAUGCCGCGUGCAGGAUGAAGGCCUUCGGGUUGUAAACUGCUUUUGUACGGAGCGAAAAGGUCUGCCCUAAUACGGUGGGCUCAUGACGGUACCGUAAGAAUAAGCACCGGCUAACUACGUGCCAGCAGCCGCGGUAAUACGUAGGGUGCGAGCGUUAAUCGGAAUUACUGGGCGUAAAGCGUGCGCAGGCGGUUAUAUAAGACAGAGGUGAAAUCCCCGGGCUCAACCUGGGACCUGCAUUUGUGACUGUAUAGCUAGAGUACGGUAGAGGGGAAUGGAAUUCCGCGUGUAGCAGUGAAAUGCGUAGAUAUGCGGAGGAACACCGAUGGCGAAGGCAAUCCCCUGGACCUGUACUGACGCUCAUGCACGAAAGCGUGGGGAGCAAACA